GAUGAACGCUGGCGGCGUGCCUAAUACAUGCCAGUCGAGCGAACAGACGAGGAGCUUGCUCCUCUGACGUUAGCGGCGGACGGGUGAGUAACACGUGGAUAACCUACCUAUAAGACUGGGAUAACUUCGGGAAACCGGAGCUAAUACCGGAUAAUAUAUUGAACCGCAUGGUUCAAUAGUGAAAGACGGUUUUGCUGUCACUUAUAGAUGGAUCCGCGCCGCAUUAGCUAGUUGGUAGGGUAACGGCUUACCAAGGCAACGAUGCGUGGCCGACCUGAGAGGGUGAUCGGCCACACUGGAACUAAGACACGGUCCAGACUCCUACGGGAGGCAGCAGUAGGGAAUCUUCCGCAAUGGGCGAAAGCCUGACGGAGCAACGCCGCGUGAGUGAUGAAGGUCUUCGGAUCGUAAAACUCUGUUAUUAGGGAAGAACAAAUGUGUAAGUAACUAUGCACGUUUUGACGGUACCUAAUCAGAAAGCCACGGCUAACUACGUG
rnacentral:rRNA from 1 species